rnacentral:rRNA from 1 species
AACGUAGGGGGCGAGCGUUGUCCGGAAUUACUGGGCGUAAAGGGCGCGUAGGCGGUUAUUUAAGUCAGAGGUGAAAACUACCGGCUCAACCGGUAGCCUGCCUUUGAAACUGGAUAACUUGAGGGCAGGAGAGGGGAGUGGAAUUCCCAGUGUAGCGGUGAAAUGCGUAGAUAUUGGGAGGAACACCAGUGGCGAAGGCGGCUCUCUGGCCUGUUUCUGACGCUGAGGCGCGAAAGCGUGGGGAGCGAACGGGAUUAGAUACCCCGGUAGUCCACGCCGUAAACGAUGGGUGCUAGGUGUAGGAGGUAUCGACCCCUUCUGUGCCGUAGCUAACGCAAUAAGCACCCCGCCUGGGGAGUACGGCCGCAAGGUUGAA